CCCUUCAUCUCUCUUAUUACACUCUCCAGAUUAUUGGCAGAGGGACUCAAUCGAAAAGAUUUUUCUCCGUGAAGUUUAAGAUUCUUUGACAAAAAUAUGGCUGUGAAACCAACAGUAGCAUUGAGGGCUUUUCUUGUUGGAGGGAUAGCUGUUUUUGCUAAAUUAGCUGGGGCAAUGAAGGCUGCCGGCGGUGCUAAGCUGGGUGCAGCCGCAGCUGCCAUGACCGUGGCAGCAUCUGCUGCAAUGACAGGAUCGAAACAGGACCCAAGUGAUGGGUCUAAGCAACCUCCAAAAUGAUAUGCCUUUUUUGGUCUUUCUUUCAGCAGCUUGUAGACAUUUGUAUUGUAGGUAGCAUAGUUGGCUGCUCAUUGGAGCUUGUCAAGAGCAGAUGGCUAUGCUUGGAAUUCUAUUUUUGGUCAUUUCCGAGUUUGCUUUUUGAAAUCAGUUGAAAUAAGAAAACCAGCACGUUGCAUUUGAAUUAAGCU